rnacentral:miRNA from 1 species
GAGUUGGCCACCUGGGUGAG